rnacentral:rRNA from 1 species
UACAGAGGUCCCGAGCGUUGUUCGGAUUCAUUGGGCGUAAAGGGUGCGUAGGUGGCGCCGUAAGUCGGGUGUGAAAUUUCGGAGCUUAACUCCGAAACUGCAUUCGAUACUGCGGUGCUUGAGGACUGGAGAGGAGACUGGAAUUCAUGGUGUAGCAGUGAAAUGCGUAGAGAUCAUGAGGAAGACCAGUGGCGAAGGCGGGUCUCUGGACAGUUCCUGACACUGAGACACGAAGGCCAGGGGAGCAAACGGG